UACGAAGGGGGCUAGCGUUGCUCGGAAUCACUGGGCGUAAAGGGUGCGUAGGCGGGUCUUUUAAGUCAGGGGUGAAAUCCUGGAGCUCAACUCCAGAACUGCCUUUGAUACUGAAGAUCUUGAGUUCGGGAGAGGUGAGUGGAACUGCGAGUGUAGAGGUGAAAUUCGUAGAUAUUCGCAAGAACACCAGUGGCGAAGGCAGCAACUUGGUCUGGUAUUGACGCUCAGGCACGAAAAGCAUGGGGAUCAAACAGG
rnacentral:rRNA from 1 species